GGUUAAGCGACUAAGCGUACACGGUGGAUGCCCUGGCAGUCAGAGGCGAUGAAGGACGUGCUAAUCUGCGAUAAGCGUCGGUAAGGUGAUAUGAACCGUUAUAACCGGCGAUUUCCGAAUGGGGAAACCCAGUGUGUUUCGACACACUAUCAUUAACUGAAUCCAUAGGUUAAUGAGGCGAACCGGGGGAACUGAAACAUCUAAGUACCCCGAGGAAAAGAAAUCAACCGAGAUUCCCCCAGUAGCGGCGAGCGAACGGGGAGCAGCCCAGAGCCUGAAUCAGUGUGUGUGUUAGUGGAAGCGUCUGGAAAGGCGCGCGAUACAGGGUGACAGCCCCGUACACAAAAAUGCACAUGCUGUGAGCUCGAUGAGUAGGGCGGGACACGUGGUAUCCUGUCUGAAUAUGGGGGGACCAUCCUCCAAGGCUAAAUACUCCUGACUGACCGAUAGUGAACCAGUACCGUGAGGGAAAGGCGAAAAGAACCCCGGCGAGGGGAGUGAAAAAGAACCUGAAACCGUGUACGUACAAGCAGUGGGAGCACGCUUAGGCGUGUGACUGCGUACCUUUUGUAUAAUGGGUCAGCGACUUAUAUUCUGUAGCAAGGUUAACCGAAUAGGGGAGCCGAAGGGAAACCGAGUCUUAACUGGGCGUUAAGUUGCAGGGUAUAGACCCGAAACCCGGUGAUCUAGCCAUGGGCAGGUUGAAGGUUGGGUAACACUAACUGGAGGACCGAACCGACUAAUGUUGAAAAAUUAGCGGAUGACUUGUGGCUGGGGGUGAAAGGCCAAUCAAACCGGGAGAUAGCUGGUUCUCCCCGAAAGCUAUUUAGGUAGCGCCUCGUGAAUUCAUCUCCGGGGGUAGAGCACUGUUUCGGCAAGGGGGUCAUCCCGACUUACCAACCCGAUGCAAACUGCGAAUACCGGAGAAUGUUAUCACGGGAGACACACGGCGGGUGCUAACGUCCGUCGUGAAGAGGGAAACAACCCAGACCGCCAGCUAAGGUCCCAAAGUCAUGGUUAAGUGGGAAACGAUGUGGGAAGGCCCAGACAGCCAGGAUGUUGGCUUAGAAGCAGCCAUCAUUUAAAGAAAGCGUAAUAGCUCACUGGUCGAGUCGGCCUGCGCGGAAGAUGUAACGGGGCUAAACCAUGCACCGAAGCUGCGGCAGCGACACUUAUGUGUUGUUGGGUAGGGGAGCGUUCUGUAAGCCUGCGAAGGUGUGCUGUGAGGCAUGCUGGAGGUAUCAGAAGUGCGAAUGCUGACAUAAGUAACGAUAAAGCGGGUGAAAAGCCCGCUCGCCGGAAGACCAAGGGUUCCUGUCCAACGUUAAUCGGGGCAGGGUGAGUCGACCCCUAAGGCGAGGCCGAAAGGCGUAGUCGAUGGGAAACAGGUUAAUAUUCCUGUACUUGGUGUUACUGCGAAGGGGGGACGGAGAAGGCUAUGUUGGCCGGGCGACGGUUGUCCCGGUUUAAGCGUGUAGGCUGGUUUUCCAGGCAAAUCCGGAAAAUCAAGGCUGAGGCGUGAUGACGAGGCACUACGGUGCUGAAGCAACAAAUGCCCUGCUUCCAGGAAAAGCCUCUAAGCAUCAGGUAACAUCAAAUCGUACCCCAAACCGACACAGGUGGUCAGGUAGAGAAUACCAAGGCGCUUGAGAGAACUCGGGUGAAGGAACUAGGCAAAAUGGUGCCGUAACUUCGGGAGAAGGCACGCUGAUAUGUAGGUGAAGUCCCUCGCGGAUGGAGCUGAAAUCAGUCGAAGAUACCAGCUGGCUGCAACUGUUUAUUAAAAACACAGCACUGUGCAAACACGAAAGUGGACGUAUACGGUGUGACGCCUGCCCGGUGCCGGAAGGUUAAUUGAUGGGGUUAGCCGCAAGGCGAAGCUCUUGAUCGAAGCCCCGGUAAACGGCGGCCGUAACUAUAACGGUCCUAAGGUAGCGAAAUUCCUUGUCGGGUAAGUUCCGACCUGCACGAAUGGCGUAAUGAUGGCCAGGCUGUCUCCACCCGAGACUCAGUGAAAUUGAACUCGCUGUGAAGAUGCAGUGUACCCGCGGCAAGACGGAAAGACCCCGUGAACCUUUACUAUAGCUUGACACUGAACAUUGAGCCUUGAUGUGUAGGAUAGGUGGGAGGCUUAGAAGUGUGGACGCCAGUCUGCAUGGAGCCGACCUUGAAAUACCACCCUUUAAUGUUUGAUGUUCUAACGUUGACCCGUAAUCCGGGUUGCGGACAGUGUCUGGUGGGUAGUUUGACUGGGGCGGUCUCCUCCUAAAGAGUAACGGAGGAGCACGAAGGUUGGCUAAUCCUGGUCGGACAUCAGGAGGUUAGUGCAAUGGCAUAAGCCAGCUUGACUGCGAGCGUGACGGCGCGAGCAGGUGCGAAAGCAGGUCAUAGUGAUCCGGUGGUUCUGAAUGGAAGGGCCAUCGCUCAACGGAUAAAAGGUACUCCGGGGAUAACAGGCUGAUACCGCCCAAGAGUUCAUAUCGACGGCGGUGUUUGGCACCUCGAUGUCGGCUCAUCACAUCCUGGGGCUGAAGUAGGUCCCAAGGGUAUGGCUGUUCGCCAUUUAAAGUGGUACGCGAGCUGGGUUUAGAACGUCGUGAGACAGUUCGGUCCCUAUCUGCCGUGGGCGCUGGAGAACUGAGGGGGGCUGCUCCUAGUACGAGAGGACCGGAGUGGACGCAUCACUGGUGUUCGGGUUGUCAUGCCAAUGGCACUGCCCGGUAGCUAAAUGCGGAAGAGAUAAGUGCUGAAAGCAUCUAAGCACGAAACUUGCCCCGAGAUGAGUUCUCCCUGACUCCUUGAGAGUCCUGAAGGAACGUUGAAGACGACGACGUUGAUAGGCCGGGUGUGUAAGCGCAGCGAUGCGUUGAGCUAACCGGUACUAAUGAACCGUGAGGCUUAACCUU
rnacentral:rRNA from 1 species